ACACCGUUGGUGAAGUGGUUAUCAUGCUUGCCUUCCAUGCGAGUAUGUAGUGAAACAAACGUCACGAGCAAGCGGCUCGGGUUCGAUUCCCGAACGGUGUA